AAAGUGCUGGGAUUACAGGCAUGAGCCACUGGCACAUAUACUUUGUACAAGUGCUUGUCGAAGUUCUUUGCUGCCAGAGCUGUGGCUGACCACAUUGCUUCCCCCAUGAAUAUGUGAAAACUGAUGCUUCAGGAGAAUUGGUGGCUUACCUGUGGCAUUCAACUAGUGGGUUAUGGAGCAGAGACUCAAACCCAGCCCUCACUCCCACAGCACUCUUCUUUUCCUGUAAAUCGCUGACUUACUCAGUUGAUCACAGUCGAUUGCCGUUUACAGAUGUGUCUGCACCCAUUGUGCCUUUUAAGCGUAGCUUUUCUCUCCUGAACGCACACAGAGCAAAGCACGGGCUCCGCAGUGUGACCCACGUGUGCCGAGUGGAUGGAUGAUGCCGGUCAGCAGGUGGGAAAAGGAUCUGCUGGGCGCCGAGGGGCAGAGGAUUGGUUUUCCUGAUCUUGGUAUGAAAACGGUGUUAAGUUCUUAGUCAUUGAGGAAAAUCACUCUUCGCCCAAAUUCCUGAGAAGGCCGAUGAGAUUGUUAUCUAAGAUUUGUUGGAUUGCUGGAUUUGUUGAGGGGAGAAAUGGAAGAAGCUGUCAGAAGUGUACAGGGCGUCAGAGGGAGGCCCUCCCUUUGGGCACUUUCUCCCCCAAAACUAUCCUGGUUUUAGCCCAACAGGUUCCUGCCCCCCUCCACCAGCCUCACUUGUUUAAAGACUAUUAAAGAAUGUCUGCAAUUUAUUCUGGAUUGAGUUUUCCUCCAAACAAAGCAACUCCCAGUUCACCCCCUAGAGUUGUUCAGGCCCUUCCAGGGGGCUUGUGGCUGUGGCUGCCUUGGAUCAGAACAGACUCAGGGCUGCAUCAUCCUUCUUCAUUGUCCCUCUACAGCACCUGAAGCCAGCUGUUCUCAAACUUUAGAGAGUGUUUGAGCCACCUGGAGAGCUGAUAAAGAACAGAGGCCUGGGCUGGUUUGAGCCCAGGCUGACUGAAGUUGAAGAGUGCUGGGCCGUUGUGUUUUUACUGAGUUCCCUGGAUGGUUCUGAUACCUCCCAGCCUGUGAGAACCACUUCUUUGUGAUUUCUUGCCUUUGAAAUUUUUUCUAACCUUCUUCUUCGUCUUUUUUUUUUUUUUUUUUUUUUUGAGAUGGAGUCUUUCUCUGUCACCAGGCUGGAGUGCAGUGGCC